UCUUCCACCGCAGCCGGGAACAUCUCAGCAGCGAGAGCCUUCUCGGGGCUUUUUCUGCAGGCAACCAGAGUGCUCCCUGAGAUCCUCCAGCAGCCCAGCUGCCUGCAGGUGCUGGAGACACUCUUCCCCCGCAGCUCUUCCUGGUGCUGCUCUUCCAGAUGUCCUUCUGCGCAGAGCUGACGCCGCAGGAGGCUGCCAUGUUCUGGAGGGAACGCCAAGGAGAAGAGUCUGCUCCCAGCAGCCCCGUGAGGUGCUCCACGCCAGCCCUGCUGUGUGUGCUGUGGAGCUGGCAGCAGGGCCGGGGUGCCAGGGUGCCUUGGGCUUUGCUCUGCACGCAGGUUCACAGUGCGGACCAUGAAAGCACUGCUCUGCCGUGGUGGCUACGAGAGGCACGUGCUGGCCAUGGCGAGGAAGGGUGGCUGGGCCAUGCUCCUCAACACUGAGACCCACCACAUGGGAGUAGGUUUGCUGGCCAGAGAGAUGAGGAAGAGCCCAAGACAGCUGCGUCUUUUCCUCUUCCAGUGGCUGACAGCGCUGCUCAAAGGCAGAGAGCCCUGCGGGGAGAUGCCUGCCAUGGCUUUCCUGGUGGAGGCCAGAAGAAUGCAGUGCCUGUGGCCCCUGCUGGUGGGGCACCUGCAGGACGCGGACAGAGACAUCAGCGCCAAGGCCCUGCUGGUGCUCAGCAAUGUGGUCCACGUCAUGGAGAAGCAGGUGGUGGCCCACCUUGCUCCGCUGCUGGCCGACAAGCUGCUGCCUCUCUUUGAUGAGGUUAGGCUGGGGGCAGAGGCGGGGGCCCUGUUGGCGUGUCGGUGAGGCUGUGUGCGGGCUGCGGGCUGUGGUGUGUUGCCGUGUGGGUGUGCCUGCGGCGUGGGAAUUUGUGCUUGCCAGCAGGGGCCCUGGGUGCUGCCAGGAACGUUUUUGCCCG
rnacentral:lncRNA from 1 species